rnacentral:rRNA from 1 species
GUCUACAGCCAUACCACCCUGAACAUACCCGAUCUUGUCUGAUCUCAGAAGCUAAGCAGGGUUGGGCCUGGUUAGUAUUUCCAUGGGAGAAAGCAACCUCAUUUCCCUUAUUUCCAAAUUUGUAAGUAGAAGGAGAGA